AGAAAUGUUUACAUGGAAGUAUUCUUAGCGGCGGACGGGUGAGUAACACGUGGGUAACCUGCCUCAAAGUGGGGGAUAGCCUUCCGAAAGGAAGAUUAAUACCGCAUAAGCCUACAGUGCCGCAUGGCACCGUAGGAAAAGGAGUAAUCCGCUUUGAGAUGGACCCGCGGCGCAUUAGCUAGUUGGUGAGGUAACGGCUCACCAAGGCGACGAUGCGUAGCCGACCUGAGAGGGUGAUCGGCCACAUUGGAACUGAGACACGGUCCAGACUCCUACGGGAGGCAGCAGUGGGGAAUAUUGCACAAUGGGCGAAAGCCUGAUGCAGCAACGCCGCGUGAGUGAUGAAGGCCUUCGGGUCGUAAAGCUCUUUGAUCAGGGAUGAUAAUGACAGUACCUGAAAAACAAGCCACGGCUAACUACGUGCCAGCAGCCGCGGUAAUACGUAGGUGGCGAGCGUUGUCCGGAAUUACUGGGCGUAAAGGAUGCGUAGGUGGAUAUUUAAGUGGGAUGUGAAAUCCCCGGGCUCAACCCGGGAACUGCAUUCCAAACUGGGUAUCUAGAGUGCAGGAGAGGAAAGCGGAAUUCCUAGUGUAGCGGUGAAAUGCGUAGAUAUUAGGAGGAACACCAGUGGCGAAGGCGGCUUUCUGGACUGUAACUGACACUGAGGCAUGAAAGCGUGGGUAGCAAACAGGAUUAGAUACCCUGGUAGUCCACGCCGUAAACGAUGGGUACUAGGUGUAGGAGGUAUCGACCCCUUCUGUGCCGUCGUUAACACAAUAAGUACCCCGCCUGGGGAGUACGGUCGCAAGACUAAAACUCAAAGGAAUUGACGGGGGCCCGCACAAGCAGCGGAGCAUGUGGUUUAAUUCGAAGCAACGCGAAGAACCUUACCUAGACUUGACAUCUCCUGAAUUACCCUUAACCGGGGAAGCCCUUCGGGGCAGAAGACAGGUGGUGCAUGGUUGUCGUCAGCUCGUGUC
rnacentral:rRNA from 1 species